rnacentral:lncRNA from 1 species
AAGAAGUCAGGCCGGAUUAAGCCAUAGUACGGUAAAAGCUAUGCUGCCUGUGAGCCCCGUCUAAGGACGUAAAAUGAAGUCAGGCCGAAAGCCACGGCUUGAGCAAACCGUGCUGCCUGUAGCUCCAUCGUGGGGAUGUAAAAACCUGGGAGGCUGCAACCCAUGGAAGCUGUACGCAUGGGGUAGCAGACUAGUGGUUAGAGGAGACCCCUCCCGAAACAUAACGCAGCAGCGGGGCCCAACACCAGGGGAAGCUGUACCCUGGUGGUAAGGACUAGAGGUUAGAGGAGACCCCCCGCAUAACAAUAAACAGCAUAAUGA